UGCAGGUGAAUGGGUGUGUAAAAGCAAAUAUGCAUCAGACUGACAAAGAAAAGAGUGUUAAACGAUUUUUAAUUUAGAACUUUAACUUUAUGUGCAAAACUGAACUUACUGAUAACACACACUAGUCAUUCGAACACAUGUAACUGUAAUGAACCAAAUAAAACAGAAACAUGCAGGCAGCACUCAUUAUACCGUGUAUAACGCAGCAUGGGGUUGUAUUUUUUUCUUUUCAGAUGCUCCUGUCACUCCAUUUCCCAGGUCAUCAUAGCACUCCCACACACACGGAGCUCUCCUGCAGUAUGCAGUGUAAUGGCCCAAACCAUCAGUGGUCAUCUUUCCGUGGAAAGCAAUUAAUGCCCUCAAAGUGAACGACUUUCCUUGGAGAACCAGGUUGGAGGGAAAUUCGUUCAGUGGAAAUUCUGUUUGGUUUGCAAGAGAUGGAUUGGAGAGUGGCCUGAGGCAGGUAGACUCAGGUAGGCCAAGUCCUGCUUCCACAGCAGUGCCAAGAUGAGCCAUAUCAGACUCUUUGAGGACAGAGAUGGCAGGAGAAACAAAUGGCACUUCCCUUGUCAUCCCUUUGCUGAGGUAGCAGUGCUGUGAAGAGCAGUGUUUGGUAAAAUAAACACUUGAGAUGUUCCUCAUUGUCUUAGCAAUUACAGCGGAGACAUUGCACUGAGCAUCAAUUUGGAUCGCACCAGACCUCAACGAGACAGAUUCAAACAUUACACUAAGCAGCUCUGCUCUCCUCCUGUAGGUUUGUUGGGUCACACCAUCUGUGGCAAUGGCUUUCACCAGCUGCAGGACUGGGUUUUCACUGUCUUUCAGAACAGCAUUUUGAAAUGUUGAGCUGUCACAGAAGGCACAACAUAAGCACUGAAAAAAUGCAUCAAAAGCACAGUUUCAUCUGCAUGGAGCCAUUCGGUACAUGAAGAGAGGUAGGAAGUUCUCUUCCUUUUUUUGGGUGGAACAGCUAGGCCCCUCCCGUUCUCAACUGGAUCCCCAUCAGCCGGAAGAAUGUUUGUGGCAGCAUCAGAUCCCACAAACGGAACAAAUCCGCAUAUUUCCCUCGAUGAAGGAAAGAUGACGAGCAAUGAAGCGAUCGACUCGAACAGUGUCGCAGGUCUGUCUGGAUCUCAUCCACUGAAUCCACUCUCUCACUUUCCUCCGUCUGUUCAUCUGGAAUGAUGAUGGAGUCUUGAGCAAUUUGGGCUUUCAGGUAUUUCUUGCACCUUUCUGAGGGAAGAGGGGCUCCAGAACUGUCAUCACCUUCUGCCUCACUGAGGGCCACAACAGUGAUAGCACGCAGUCCCACUGGCAUAUCAUCUUGAUGCAGUGCGCAACAUCAACCCUGAUAAAACAUGGGGGGAGUUUGGCAGACUGGGUUCCAAGAAGGACAUGAAAGCAUUCAUUAAGAGUGGCCAAAUUUGGAAGGUGGCUUGGCUCAGGAUCUCCAACAUCCAUCAGAUCUGCUGCCUUCGCUGACCUCCAUACAGCCGGUUCCAUUCUGCCCUCACACAGCUCUUUAGAGAUCUGUUCACGCAGGUUUCCAGACAUGAACCGCUUGGAGUGGCCAGUGUGCAGGGAGAGAUCUGUAUUUCUCAUGAAACACUGAAGCACCAUUGGACUAUUAAUUGCUGGCUGUCUGUCACAUGACAUUUCUAACUGGCCAUGACACUCCUUACAGUCGCCUCUGAUGUCCAGAUAAUUAUUGUUGACAGUUGGAUGGACCUUUGCUCUUCGGAACACAAGUGUACAUGUAUUUUUGAUCUUCUUCCAUAUAAGAUCGUUGAUGAUAUGAGUCCAAGUGCCAGGUUUCAAAAUUGUGUAUUCCCUUUUUUGGGUAGGAGAAAACUUGUCAUUGUAUUCAACCGUUUCAGGAAUAAAUUUAACCCAGUCCUCAAAAGGGACUUCUAGUUCAAAAGCUUGACAGUUUUCUUGUCCAGGAGAAAUGCAAUGUGAAUCUAACUCUCCUUCACUAUUACUUUCCUGAUCACCAGACAGUUAGCUAUAUCAUGUAUUAACUCAGUAACUAAAACCUCAGUAUUUUAAAUGUAAGCUUACCUUGUUCAGAAACCAGAUGUAACACGCUGUUCUAAGAAUCCUUCAGACACAGUAAAGCCAAAUAAUAGUUUUUUCUGCCAGAAAAUGUGUAUUUGAUGCAAAAGACUGCUAGCUUGUUUGUCUCUCAAAAAGUGUUCAUGGGAGUGUAAAAUGUUCAAAUGUAGUUUUCAAUAAAGUUUUUUUAAUCCACCUUAAGAAAAAUAGUCAAGCAUUUGCAUCGUAGUUUUAUGAACAAAAAGUGAUUGAAGUAAAGAAAUUGAAGUUAAAAAAAUACACUCAUUACAAAUUUAGCUGAUUAAAUACAACAAGAGGUUUUUUUUAACAGAACUUUAUUGAACAAGACAUUUUUCAGCAGUAACACCAUAACAGAAUAUCUCAUAUCAUAGCAGCACAAACGCUAAUUUCACCUGCACAAAUCAGCACAAACGUAGCACUAAAAAAGUAGGCCAUUUUGGCCCGUUUUGGAGCAGUCUGGGGGGAUGGUGACCUUUGAAUGACCUAUAAAAUAAUGUUUAAUAUCUCAAAAACCGUAGCAGCACAAACGCUAAUUUUAACUGCACGAAUCUGCACAAACGUAGCACUAACCGCUCCGCCUUUACGUUUCAAGUGGGUGGGGGGUCAGCUUCACUCUGUUUUUAUAGGUGAUCCUCACUUGUGUGCACGUGCAUGUAGGUGAACGCUCACGGCAUGACGUCACACAGCUCAGUUCCUUUCUGCUUUGAUCUUGCAGCACGUGACCUCCACUCGAGUCCUCAAAUAGGGGUGAAACGUAUCACUAAACAAUUUUCAAAGCUAUCUUUAACUAAGACAGAGCAAAGAGACACAUAUUGAAAAAUAAUGACCAAUCAAACAGGUAGGAGUGGUCCGGGAAUCCCAAUAGACAAGGAAGAAAACAGAGAAAUAUACAGAGUUAGGUUGGAAAACUGUAUGGAAAACCAAGUUAGGCGAGUGGUAAAAAAAUCAGGCGAAGUCAUCAGUGAGGAAAAAGUCGAAGCCAUUUACAAGAGGCUUACCAAUAAAAUCUGGGCUGAAGUCGAGGAUCAAUUUGAUGAGAUUCUUAUAGUGGACUUCAACAAGCUCUACAACAUGAUUUUCAAAGCCCUGUGUGAAAAGUGGAAAAGUGCAGAAACAGUGCUGCUAAUAAUGAAAUUAAAUCUUCCACUUAUUGACAACACAAUUGUGGUAACCUUUAUAGAAGAGGCAGCCAAACUAAUGAUAAGAAAUCAAAGAAACGCAUAUUCAAAAACAACAGAAACCAACACAGGCAGGAGUGAUCCAGGAAUUCCAAUAGACAAGAAAGAAAGCAGCAGAAAUGACAGAUUUAGGUUGGAAAAGUGUAUGGCAGUCCUGGUUAAGCGAUUGGUUAGAAAAUCAGGUGGAGUCAUCAGUUUGGAAGAAGUUAAAGCCAUCUGCAAGAGGCUUACCAGCAAAAUCUGGGCUGAAAUGGAGGAUCAACUUCAUGUAAAUCUCUUAAUAGAGUCUGACAGGCUCCCAGAGAUGAUUUUCAACGGCCUUUGUAAAAAAUGGCAAAGUGCAGAAAUAGUGCUGCUAAUGAUGAAAUUAAAUCUCCCACUAAUUGACAACAUAAUUGUUGUAACUUUGAUAGAAGAGGCAGCCAAACUAACAAAGAGAGAGCAAAGAAGUGCAUAUUCAAAAACAAUAGCAGCAAACACAGGUAGGAGUGAUUCAGCUUUUAUUUCAGAGCCUAAAGAAAAUGUAAUGCCCGGAAAUGUGACAAAUACAGAAGAAAAAAGUCAUAAUCAUACUUGUAACGCUUGUAUUGACAGGAAAAACAUUUCAAUACAAAAUCAGAAAACAACAGAAACCGAAGAAACUGGAACUCCAAUAGAAGAGAAAAAACAGAGAGAGAAAAAGAGAUUAUAUUUGGAAAUGGGUAUGCAAUUCCUGGUUAGGCGAUUGGUUAGAAAAUCAGGUGAAGUCAUCAGUUUGCAAGAAGUUAAAGCCAUCUCCAUGAGGCUUACCAGCAAAAUCUGGGCUGAAAUGGAGGAUCAACUUCAUGUAAAUCUCUUAAUACAGUCUCACAGGCCCUUAAAGAUGAUUUGCAACGCCCUUUGUAAAAAGUGGCAAAGUGCAGAAACAGUGCUGCUAAUGAUGAAAUUAAAUCUCCCACUCAUCGACAACAUAAUUUUUGUAACUCUCAUAGAGGAAGCAGCCAAACUAUCCAAGAGACCAAGUCGCAUAAGUCGAUUUUUCUCAUUUGUAGGUCGACUUUUUUCCUCCUGUCUGUGCUGCAUGCAGAGUUCCAACACAGCUGACUGCGGUGUGGAACAACAAAUCAUUGUGUUUCAGAGCCUGAAAGAGGCUGAAAACAAGCCUGAAAACGAGAAAAGAAAUAGUAGUCAUGCGACUGUGUGUUCUUUCUGUAACUUUAAGAACUGUAACUGCUCUUUCAACGUUAAUGUCAAAUUGAGCAUCCCGAAACUAUUCAGUUUAGUGUAAUGCAGAGAAAGAGCUGCUGCUUUAAAGGCAGUACUGAUGACUAAAUUGUCAUCUUGAUUUUUUUUUCAAAUACCUCUUUUAAAAUCUUAAAGCAGUCUGGCCUCAGAGUUAACAUCAGAGGUAUAUUUUAUUUUAAAACUAUUUCAUUCGACUUUAAUUAGACUGAGAAAUAUUCUUCACCGUGUCUCUUCGUAUUAUCGUUACCAUCACCCCCCAACGGCCGAGGCAGACGGCCGUCCCUUCUGAGCCUGGUUCUGCCGGAGGUUUCUGCCUGUUACAGGUAGUUUUUCCUCCCCACUGUCGCCAAGUGCUUGCUCAUAAGGGAUUAUUCAUUAAUUGGGGUUUUCUUGCUGCUACUGUAGGGUCUCUAUCUUACAGUAUAAAGCAACUUGAGGAGACGGUUGUGAUUUGAUGCUAUAUUAAACAUCUUAAAUUCAACUGAAUCUUAAAAUGUAAUAUAGCAUCACAUCACCAUCAAAUCAAGAACUGAAAAAUAUAAAACAAAAUGAAAAUAAAAACCUAAAUUAAAAGCAGUUUGUGAUUUGUCUUGUGCUUUCAAAAUAUAUUGUCAAAUAUGAAAAGCUGCAUUUCUAUGCUCUGGUCAUUAGUACUGGUAUUUUAACCCUGGAGAACAAAUGGGGUCAGAUCCGACCCCAUUGGUUUUCUAGGGAACCCAUGGGGUCAAAUUUGACCCCAUGGGUUCUCCAGGGUUAAUGUAAGCAAACACAGGGAGCAUACACCGAUGUGGAAGUACUACAGAUGAAGAUGCAAAGAAACCAUGAAAUAAUUAAUGAAAUAGUGAAGUUUAUGAAUAAAAUAAACAACUGUAGCACCGUCUCAGUCUCGUCGAAUCGCCCCUCUGCCUCUUCUACUCUAGCAUCAACUCUUCUUAACCCUCGUCUAAUAUGCGCAUAUUGUUUGUUGUUGUCUUUCCUAAAGUCACGAAGCUCUUUCGGGAUGUUCAGGAGGCUGGGCUCGUCUGCAUCCGUGCCCUCUGUGGCUAACCUUAGCUCAGGAGAGUAGCUCCUAUCCACGUGGCUUUUCUCUGUCUCCUCUUCUGUCUGAGUUGUGCCUCUCAAACUUCUUGUGACUACCCCCGUUUCCAUAUUUAAAAGCAAUCUCACCUAUUAUCAGAAAGAUUACCGUAUCUUAUUGUAAGAGAAAUUUCUCCUACGUGUUUGGAGUCUCUACAGUAAGCAAAUGUGGUAAAGGGUGUGGCUGAUUCUGGGAUUGAUGCAGGAGGGCGACAGAAAUAAAAAGUAAAAUAUUAAAUUUUUGCUGUUAUUGACUUUGCUUUACAAUAUCAAACACUGAGCCAGAUGCACAAUAGUCAUGUACAUCACACGUAAACACAUUAAUGUAAAAAACACAGAGGUUAGGCCAUCAAAGUGUGUGUAAAAGAAGUGUUUAUGUCUGUCUUGCAGUUUCUGUUCCUGUCCGAGGUUUGCAGUGGAGAGCUCAGACCACACAGGACCCCGUCCUCUCCAAACCCUGCUCAGCUCUCUGGUACCAGCACACCCACGCACAACUGGCCACCUUAAAAAAUUGUACAGUUUUGAGCUCGAUAACCUGCAGGUGAAAAAUCUGUAGAUCAGUCAUCGCUCCUCUGUGGUGUUAAGAUGCUGAAUACAAGGGGAAUAAAAGUGGAUUAUAAUCGAUACCAAAACGGAUCUUUAUCCAUGGAAUCAGUAGCAUAAAAUCAGGAAUUUCAGGCUUCAUUAUCAUGGUUAAUUUAAGAAAAUAAAUAAAAAUAGGUGUGACCAUAUUUGACGAUUAUGAGCUAAUUCAAGCAAGUAGAAAACUGAAUAAUAAUUAUCCAUAACUGUGGAUGAACUGACCGUUAGAUGAACUGCAGUCUUUGUCCUUUGAGUGUGGCAGGUGGCUUCUUGAUGGCUCACACCGUUCCCCUCUCUCACCUCCUGCAGGGGGCAGUGUCCAGCUCUCUCACCUGUCUGCAGACGGCGGAGGGAGUGGCAGCUCUGCUGAUGGAGAGAGGCGGUGUGCAGGAAGGAGAUCACGUCGCUCUGGUGUACCCGCCAGGUAUAGACCUGAUCGCAGCCCUUUACGGCUGCCUGUACGCCGGCUGCGUUCCCAUCACAGUGCGACCGCCUCACCCUCAGAACAUCUCCACCACCCUGCCCACUGUUAAGAUGAUUGUCGAGGUGAGUCACUCGGCGUGUGUGAUGAUGACCACCGCCGUCAUCUGUAAGCUGCUGCGCUCCAAAGAGGCCAUGGCCACGAUGGACAUCAGGAACUGGCCCCCAGUCCUGGACACCGGUACAGCGUUUCAUUCAUAUCCGCACAGGGAAAUCACGCUCGCAUUAAGUACUUUAAUUUAACAUAAAUGCAGGUCGUGCACAGCCUCCUCACAAUGCAGUCCGAGUAGUUCUGGUUGCAGAUAUAAACCUAAAGAAUGCACAUUAAAUGAAAUCCUCUGCUGUGAUGAAACCUGCCUUUACAGCUCCAUCACUCUGUGAUUUAUCAAAAAAUAAAAACUUGCUGUAGCUGCAAGUCUGUGGAGUUUUUAAGUCUGUUGGUUCUCGUCUUUGGGAGAAGCAACCUGUCACUGAACAGACUGUUCUGGUUGUUUAUGGCCGUGUGCAGAGGAUGCCCAGCAUUGUCCAUAAUGUCCAUAAAAAUGUUAUAACAUGGGAACAUGCAUGCAAUAUAGUAUAAAUAAUAAAAACAAAGCUUAUACAAUUUUAGAAAAGCUUGAAAGUCAUUAUUUGGUGUGAUUCCUUAUACUUCCGCUUAAAAGACUACCACUACCACUUAAAAUACAUUCUGUGUUAGGAAAAGGGUAAGAUUUGAUAUACAUGCAGCUGUAGUUACAUGCAGCUGUAGUUACAUGCAGCUGUAGUUACAUGCACCUGUAGUGGAAGGAACAGUUUAAAUAUACUUUCAAAGAUGCUUUUUUAUCCUUUUUAAAGAACUCUUUUUAUUCAUAGCUGAUUGAGCUGUUUUUCUGCUUCUUUGUCAGACUCAUCUCUGACUGCCAAUCACCUGUGACACCAAACACAUCUUUAUUUUUCCAUUAUUACUGAUAAUAACCAAUAUAAAUAAGUGAUUCGUGUAGAUUCAAUGGUUUGUUUGUGACAUGUGGUUUUGUAUUUGACUGAUGUCAUUUAACCGCACCGUACAUUGGUCAAGUAUGUCUAAUAAUAAACAUACAACAUACAAUAAACAAAGAGGGAUCACAUUUGAAUCUCACUGACUAGGAAGCACACAGUGUUUGACAUUUCAUAUUAACUUUACUCUGAAAUAAUUUUAGCAUUUUUUUCAAGUCCCCAGUGUUUCCUGCUCCUUGGAGCACUCCUGGUUGUCUGCUAUGGUGGAGGUGGCCAAUGUCUGGAGACAAAUCGCUGUUCUGGGGAGCUGCUUUCCUCCACUUACUUUACAUCAGAGUAGAAAGCAUGGAAACAACCCUGAUGGAAAACAGAAACAGCAUCCAGGAAGUGGAAUAAAGAUUAAGCAGCCAAAUUCUAGCUCUGGUUCGAUGCUUACAUUUGGAGGACUCUAGACCACAAACUGAGAGAAACUCUGUGAAGAUGCAGAAACACAUCAAGUUUUGCAAACAAGCAUACUAUUUUUAUAGUUAACUAAACUUCUAGUUUAUUAGAGUUGAGUUCCUACUCGCAGACAACUGAAACAUUCACAUUUGGAAAGCUGACUGAAUAAAUUUUCGUUUGAUUAAUCUAAAGUUGUUCUUCUGUGUCUGAAAACACCCACUCCCACUUACUCAACCUGUGUUGUCGUCUGCUGCUGUGGCCUACAGUAGCAGAAGACAACACUGCAACUGUAACCAAACUGAUUACAGCAUUAUUUAAAAACCUUUAGUGAACUCAACGUUCAAGAUUUUUCAAGGAUCCACAGAAACUUUGAUUGUGUGCUAAAAAUGCUAGUAAAGCUGACAUCCAUCACGAACAACCCACAUCCUCCUCUGCAUGAGUCUGUGAGUGUGCUGAGCAGUUCCUCAUCAGAGACCAAAACAUCCUCACUGCAGGAAGGAGCGCUUUCACAGAUCAUUGAUCCCAACAGCAGUUAGACUAUAACUCCUCAAUCACGUUGUCAUGAGUCACUGGACAUUUACCUGGUGUGCACGUAUAUGUGUAUGUAUAUGUAUACAUGUGUAUAUUCAGUGUGUGUAUGUGUGUGUGUGUGUGUGUGUGUGUGCGCGUGUACAUGUCUAUACUUCUAGAUACUUUUAGAUAUCUAUUGCUUAAAUAGUAAUGAUACAAUAGUUAAAUUUAUUUCUUGCAUUUCCACAACACUCUAUCCAUAGUCACAUACUGUGUAUGCUACUGUUGUAUAUAGUGUACUAUCUUAUUUAUUUUGUGGUUGUUUAUAUUUUAGUCCUAUUUUCGUAUUUUCUGUAACCAUGGUUACGGGAGUUUGUUGCAAGAAGUGUUGUGAAUCUCGCUGAGACAGGGAACCACUGAGGAGCCUCAGAUUAACCAAUCAGUCAGAUCGCUGUCUCCACUUGGGUGGCUGUAGCUCAGGUGGUCAGCCACUACUCAGAAGGUUGGUGGUUCGAUCCCAGGCUGCCUCCUGGCUGCAUGCCAAAUAACCUUGGGCAAGAUACUAACCCAGGGGUCUGCAACCUUUUACACCCAAAGAGCCAUUUGACCCGGUUUCCACGCAAAAGAAAACACUGGGAGCCGCAAAUACUUUUUGACAUCUAAAAUGAAGAUAACACUGUAUAUAUUGUUUUUUACCUUUAUGCUUUGUGUGAACAACUCAGGUGUGUUGCUUAUGAAAAAUGAAGUGCUACAGAGAAAAUGUAAUUAUAUUUAUGUAAUCAACACAUUUUGAACUCUUAAAGAAAUAUAACAAAAGGAAAGACACCAACCUGAACUAAAAUGAUCCAGCAAACAAAAACUGUUGUCAGCCGCCACCCUUAUAUCGCCUUUGGGCUUUUGGAGCCUUGACCUGACUCUUAAAAAAUAAUUAGAAAAAAGCUCUAUGCUGCUAAAAGAUGAAAAAUAGAUUCUGCCUAAAUAUGUAUUUUACCUGGUUAAUGUGUGUGGCGGGGUGUGGUUUGCAGCGCCGCUGCAGGGGAGUCGAACGCACCUGAGCAGCACCCGCAAUCCUGCCUUUCCGCCUUAAAGUCUGUGCUCUCUCUGCUGUUGUGUUGUCGGGCUGUGAGCUGAAAAGCUACAGCCGGCUGUAUGUGUAGCCGCUAAACUGGUGACCUAAAUCUUCGCCACCACGUCUAUAUACAUACAAGCAUAAGGGGAGAGAGUGAAUCAGCGCUGGGAGUACGGACACUGGGCCGGCUUUAAACACACCAUUUAUUUUUUUAGAAGAACAGCCAGAAUCACAAGUAGGAGUUAAAAUCCCCACUAUACAAUAAAAAAAUAAAUGUUCCCAACCCACUAAAAAGCCCUGCCGGCAGAGAUUAAAAUACAAUUAAAAAAAUCAAAGCUAAAUGAAUGUCCUUUUUAUACGAUAAAACUUCCCCCCCAGAGUCCUCUAUUCCCAGUGUCCAACCACACACACUCGGGCAAAUGUUCCUUAGCUGAAAGACGCAGAAGGGGAGCUCCUCUUCCGGGAUGGGGAAAUCUCGCCAGCAGAAGGCCAGG
ensembl:lncRNA